rnacentral:ncRNA from 2 species
GGGAACCCGGUGGGAGUCCGGGGCUGACGCGCAGCGGUGUGGGGCGGCGGGAGGCCGCCCCGAGCCCGAAUGCC